GUGGGGUUCCCGAGCGGCCAAGGGAGCAGACUGUAAAUCUGCGUCAUCGAUUCGAAGGUUCGAAUCCUUCCCCCACACCA
rnacentral:tRNA from 1 species